UACGGGGGGGGGCAAGCGUUGUUCGGAAUUACUGGGCGUAAAGGGCGCGUAGGCGGCCUUCUAAGUCAGACGUGAAAUCCCUCGGCUCAACCGAGGAACUGCGUCUGAUACUGGAAGGCUUGAAUCCGGGAGAGGGAUGUGGAAUUCCAGGUGUAGCGGUGAAAUGCGUAGAUAUCUGGAGGAACACCGGUGGCGAAGGCGGCAUCCUGGACCGGUAUUGACGCUGAGGCGCGAAAGCUAGGGGAGCAAACGGG
rnacentral:rRNA from 1 species